UUAGAUCUUUAACAGUAGAGUUAGCGGUAUUUUUGCCGACAAAUGUGCAUCAAUUUGAGUGCUUAUUUCCCCAUGAGAUCGGUGGUAAAAAUAUUUUAACCCAUUACUCUAGUGCAAUCCGCAGCCUCUGAUCAGUACUCCCCAGACAACUAUGUCAGGCUCCACUGGCUUUACUUCGAAUAGCCUCUCUAGGCCUCCACUACCCAAGAGGUCCUGUACUCCCUCUGCAUGGACUCGAGGUACCUUUCCCCUUUCUCGAUCAGUCCACCAUGUCGUCGAGAUGCAAAUUAACUUCACCACGCGAUCGGGUUGAACAACAUCCUCUUCCUUCAUCUCAAAUGCUUCCACUUCUAGUGCUCAUGCCUCGCGUUGCUCCCGAUCGUGGAGCUACAUCAUACCAGAUUUCCGCAGAAUAGAUGUCCCCUCGUUUGCUGGGAGUCCAAACUUCGAUCAAUUACCAAGCCAGUGCUGAAGAAGUUGCCAAACCCUAGAGGCUUCUUGUGCUUUCAUGCAUAAUAUGUAAGGAGGAGCAUGCCAUGUUCUUUUGCAGGUGGCUUCCAUCGGCUGCAACAUUUGAUAUUAACAAAACGGCUAGCUAGAUUUAGAGGAAUGGAAGGCGGAGGUUGGGAAAGUGCACAUCCUUAUCCAUUUAACUAUCAAAUACUGCUGGAAUUUGAAGAUGCUUCAUUCAUAUGCCCAAAAAUCAAGGUCAAAAAAGGAGUAUGAGGUCCUCCAAUAACGUCCCCUCCAUCAUCUUUUGAAUAAUAGCUACUUGUAAGUCUCUCUCUCUCUCUCCACCGUUUCCUCCCCUUGUUGCUUGUUAUUCUCUGCAUUUCCACCUCUCAAAAUUCUACUAAGAAAAUAAUCUUGUCUUAAGAUUGAUACACUCAAAGCAUGCCACAUGUUUGACAUAAUAUCGUGCAGAGUAUUAUGAUUUGCAGAGCCUUAUUCCAGAAUUAUAUAAAAUCUUAAUGCCUCAAAAUGGCAUUCUAUGCUAUUAUGGUGCAUAAAACAUUUUAUUUCUACCGGCUGAAAUGCUGGUCUAGGAGCAGCAGUUCUGAUGGGGAAGUUGACAAAAAUCUGAUUCUAAAAUUCUUUCCCUCUCUAGCUUAGAACAAGUCAGACUAAAAUUUCAGCACUUAGAAUGUUCAAAAGAUUAGAAGGAAAAGUUUAUUGAUUUUGUAUAAUUCCGGAAUAAAGCUCUGCAAAUCACAUUAUAUUAUGUCAAACCUGAGGCAUGCUACAAUUACUUGUGCUUUGAGUGUAUUCAAUCUCAUAAAAAGCAUGUUCCGUUGGUAGAAUCUUGAGGGUUGGAAAAGCAGAGAAUAACAUGGAACAAGGGAAGGAAAUAGAAGAGAGAGGGAGCGACUUACGGGAAGGAGGAGACAUGUUGGACCUUGUACCCCUCCUCCUUUCUGACCCUAUCAUUGAACUCUUGGGCACACAAAUCAGCUUCAGUUCCUAAAGGGUGGUCACUUUGAUGUGAUCCUGUGGGAAGCAUCUUCAAAUUCUGGCAGUACUCGAUGGUUAAGUGGGUGAGGCUGCGCAUCACGCCAACCUCCACUCUCCAUUCCUCUGAAUCUAGAAGUAUUGUCAAUAUCAAGUAUUGCAGCCGAGGAAAGCCAUCAGGUGAAGAACAGGACAUGCUCCUCUUUGCAUACGCAUGGAAACACAAUGAAAGAAGCCUAAGGCUUGGCAGCUUCUCCAGCACUGGCUUGAUAACUGAUGUCCACGAAACCACGUUCCUCCUCUCAGACAUCCGAUCGAAGCACUGCUUUGGCUGAGUCGCCCGCGCGUUUGUAGCCAGCCAGCAUUGCGUUCCAUGAGACGACAUCUCUAUGAGGCAUUUUGUCGGACAGCUUCUCUGCAUACUUGAUGUCUUGGAAAAUUUUGGCUGCAUCGAUUCGGUGACCAUGACGAAGAUGGAGUUGGGUUAUUUGUGAUGGUACCGCAUCAAGACUGGGGUACUGGUGAUGGAGGGAUGAUGACCGUCUAUCGGCUACGAAUAAAGUAGUCCUCCAUGUAUCCGAUAAUUAAAGCAGUCCUCCAUGACACCAAGUUCUUGACAAGGAUUUCAUCGAACACCCACAGACGAGCAUUUGGGUGUUUCAAACUCGCCACAGCCGCCGCCGAUCAGAGCAUCUCCAGGCAAAUGUAAUUGAAUCAAAUGCCAUGCGAAUUUUGACGGCAUGAUGCUGCGGAACCACCACAAAGCUGGCUACAGCAGCAGUGAUAACAGCGGCCAGUGUUGAUCCUGACCGGACCAUCUCCAAGAAAUAGCUGAACACUUCGGCUGAGUCGCCGGCGCGUUUGUAGCCAGCCAGCAUUGCGUUACAUGAGACGACAUCUCUAUGGGGCAUUUCGUCGAACAGCUUCUCUGCAUGCUUGAUAUCUCGGAAAAUUUUGGUCGCAUCGAUCAGGUGGCCAUGACGAAGAUGGGUGGCGAUGUUGGAGUUGGGUUAUCUGUGAUGGCAGCGCAUCAAGAUUGGGGUAUUGGUGAUGGAGGGAUGAUGACUAUCAGCUACGGUUAGCCCUUGGGUAUAUCAAGGUCAUAAAAGAUGACCAUGUUCUUUAUGACCUAAUGUGCGACUGCUAUUUGUGCUCAUAAUAUUUGCAGAAUAAAGUAUUAUUUCUACACAAGUAUGAGAGCUGGGGUUGGGCAAUAAAACCCCUCGUUAAAUCUUUAACAGUGGAGUUGGCAGUAUUUUUGCCUACAAAUGUGCAUCAAUUUUAGUGCUUAUUUUCCUAUGAGAUCGGUUGUAAAAAUAUUUUAACCCAUUACUCUGCCCUGCUCAAGUUUUAGUAGACACCAGCCUUGACGUAGUCUGGCUUUUUUUAUAAACAAACAUAAGGUUCAUGUGGACAGUGACUUUGUCAAAAAUAAUGCUGUUAUUUUGUAGUUUUCAUGAACAAUUACCCCUUAAGAUGAUUCAGAACAGCCUUCUAUUUCAUAAAUCGUAAUAUUUUCAACAAAAAAAAAAAUGCAAUCAACAAGGUUGUAA